GCUGGGUGUGGUGGCUCAUGCCUGUAAUCCCAGCAGCAUGGGAGGCUGAGGCAGGAAGAUCAAAAGUUCAAAGCCAGUCUCAG
rnacentral:sRNA from 1 species